rnacentral:rRNA from 1 species
UACAGAGGUCUCAAGCGUUGUUCGGAUUCAUUGGGCGUAAAGGGUGCGUAGGUGGCGUGGUAAGUCGGGUGUGAAAUUUCGGAGCUUAACUCCGAAACUGCAUUCGAUACUGCCGUGCUUGAGGACUGGAGAGGAGACUGGAAUUUACGGUGUAGCAGUGAAAAUGCGUAGAGAUCGUAAGGAAGACCAGUGGCGAAGCGGGUCUCUGGACAGUUCCUGACACUGGAGGCAACGAAAGGCCCAGGGGGGGCAAACGGG